GAUGAAGAACGUAGCGAAAUGCGAUACUUGGUGUGAAUUGCAGAAUCCCGUGAACCAUUGAGUCUUUGAACGCAAGUUGCGCCCGAAGCCAUUAGGCCGAGGGCACGCCUGCCUGGGUGUCACACACCGUUACCCUCGCGCCAACGUCCAUCGUUGGCCGCGGCGCGGGGCGUGCGCUGACCUCCCGCGAGCGGGGUCUCGUGGUUGGUUGAAAAUCGAGUUCGCGGUCGAGGGUGCCGUGAUGAAAUGGUGGAUGGGCGACGCCCGAGGCCAAUCACGCGCGACUCUGCCCGGCUCGGACUCCUGGACCCCUUCGGCGUCUCAGGACGCUCUUUGGCGAGACCUCAGGUCAGGCGGGGCUACCCGCUGAGUUUAAGCAUAUCAAUAAGCGGAGGA
rnacentral:misc_RNA from 1 species